GAGGGCAAGUCUGGUGCCAGCAGCCGCGGUAAUUCCAGCUCCAAUAGCGUAUAUUAAAGUUGUUGCAGUUAAAAAGCUCGUAGUUGGAUUUCUGUUAAUAAUUUAUAUAAAAUAUUUUGAUGAAUAUUUAUAUAAUAUUAACAUAAUUCAUAUUACUAUUUUUUUUUUUAGUAUAUGAAAUUUUACUUUGAGAAAAUUAGAGUGCUUAAAGCAGGCAUAUGCCUUGAAUACUCCAGCAUGGAAUAAUAUUAAAGAUUUUUAUCUUUUUUAUUGGUUCUAAGAUAAGAAUAAUGAUUAAUAGGGACAGUUGGGGGCAUUUGUAUUUAACAGUCAGAGGUGAAAUUCUUAGAUUUGUUAAAGACAAACUAAUGCGAAAGCAUUUGCCAAGGAUGUUUUCAUUAAUCAAGAACGAAAGUUAGGGGAUCG
rnacentral:rRNA from 1 species